UACGGAGGGUGCGAGCGUUGUCCGGAAUCACUGGGCGUAAAGGGCGCGUAGGCGGCCUGAUAAGUAGGGGGUGGAAAUCCUGCGGCUUAACCGCAGGGCUGCCUUCUAAACUGUCGGGCUAGAGCACGGUAGAGGCAGAUGGAAUUCCCGGUGUAGCGGUGGAAUGCGUAGAGAUCGGGAAGAACAUCAGUGGCGAAGGCGGUCGUGC
rnacentral:rRNA from 1 species